rnacentral:siRNA from 1 species
UCCGUGUUAUUAGUCUUCCUCCCU